rnacentral:rRNA from 1 species
UACGUAGGGUGCAAGCGUUAUCCGGAAUUAUUGGGCGUAAAGAGCUCGUAGGCGGUUUGUCGCGUCUGCCUGUGAAAACUGGAGGCUCAACCUCCCAGCCUGCAGUGGGUACGGGCAAACUAGAGUGCGGUAGGGGAGAUUGGAAUUCCUGGUGUAGCGGUGGAAUGCGCAGAUAUCAGGAGGAACACCGAUGGCGAAGGCAGAUCUCUGGGCCGUAACUGACGCUGAGGAGCGAAAGCAUGGGGAGCGAACAGG